rnacentral:rRNA from 1 species
GGUUAAGUGACUAAGCGUACAUGGUGGAUGCCUUGGCAGUCAGAGGCGAUGAAGGACGUACUAACCUGCGAUAAGCCGUGAGCAGUCGGUAAGAGACAUUACGACUCACGGAUUUCCGAAUGGGGAAACCCACCCGAGAUAACUCGGGUAUCUGUUACUGAAUACAUAGGUAACAGAGGCGAACCGGGAGAACUGAAACAUCUAAGUACCCCGAGGAAAAGAAAUCAACCGAGAUUCCCUCAGUAGCGGCGAGCGAACGGGGAUUAGCCCUUAAGCAUCUUGGAAGUUAGUGGAACGGUCCUGGAAAGGCCGGCGAUACAGGGUGAUAGCCCCGUACACGAAAACAACCUUGAUGUGAAAUCGAGUAGGGCGGGACACGUGACAUCCUGUCUGAAUAUGGGGGGACCAUCCUCCAAGGCUAAAUACUCCUGACUGACCGAUAGUGAACCAGUACCGUGAGGGAAAGGCGAAAAGAACCCCUGUGAGGGGAGUGAAAUAGAACCUGAAACCGUGUACGUACAAGCAGUGGGAGCCCUUCGGGGUGACUGCGUACCUUUUGUAUAAUGGGUCAGCGACUUACAUUUUGUAGCGAGGUUAACCGUAUAGGGGAGCCGUAGGGAAACCGAGUCUUAACUGGGCGUCUAGUUGCAAGGUGUAGACCCGAAACCGGGUGAUCUAGCCAUGGGCAGGUUGAAGGUUGAGUAACAUCAACUGGAGGACCGAACCCACUAACGUUGCAAAGUUAGGGGAUGACCUGUGGCUGGGGGUGAAAGGCCAAUCAAACUCGGAGAUAGCUGGUUCUCCCCGAAAGCUAUUUAGGUAGCGCCUCGGACGAAUACUACUGGGGGUAGAGCACUGUUUGGGCUAGGGGGUCAUCCCGACUUACCAACCCCAUGCAAACUCCGAAUACCAGUAAGUAAUAUCCGGGAGACACACGGCGGGUGCUAACGUCCGUCGUGAAGAGGGAAACAACCCAGACCGCCGGCUAAGGUCCCAAAGUUCUGGUUAAGUGGGAAACGAUGUGGGAAGGCUCAGACAGCUAGGAUGUUGGCUUAGAAGCAGCCAUCAUUUAAAGAAAGCGUAAUAGCUCACUAGUCGAGUCGGCCUGCGCGGAAGAUGUAACGGGGCUCAAACCAGGCACCGAAGCCGCGGAUUCACGCUAAGCGUGAGUGGUAGGGGAGCGUUCUGUAAGUCUGCGAAGGUGUGUCGAGAGGCAUGCUGGAGAUAUCAGAAGUGCGAAUGCUGACGUAAGUAACGAUAAAGGGGGUGAAAAGCCUCCUCGCCGGAAGACCAAGGGUUCCUGUCCAACGUUAAUCGGGGCAGGGUGAGUCGACCCCUAAGGUGAGGCCGAAAGGCGUAAUCGAUGGGAAGCAGGUUAAUAUUCCUGCACGACUUGUAAUUGCGAUGGGGGGACGGAGAAGGCUAGGUGGGCCAGGCGACGGUUGUCCUGGUGAAAGUGCGUAGGUGGUGUUUCUAGGCAAAUCCGGAGACACAACACUGAGACACGAGACGAACACACUACGGUGUGGAAGCCAUUGAUGCCCUGCUUCCAGGAAAAGCCUCUAAGCUUCAGAUUACAAGUCAUCGUACCCCAAACCGACACAGGUGGUCGGGUAGAGAAUACCAAGGCGCUUGAGAGAACUCGGGUGAAGGAACUAGGCAAAAUAGUACCGUAACUUCGGGAGAAGGUACGCUCUUGUUGGUGAAGUCCCUUGCGGAUGGAGCUGACGGGAGUCGCAGUGACCAGAUGGCUGGGACUGUUUAUCAAAAACACAGCACUCUGCAAACACGAAAGUGGACGUAUAGGGUGUGACACCUGCCCGGUGCCGGAAGGUUAAUUGAUGGGGUUAGCGCAAGCGAAGCUCUUGAUCGAAGCCCCGGUAAACGGCGGCCGUAACUAUAACGGUCCUAAGGUAGCGAAAUUCCUUGUCGGGUAAGUUCCGACCUGCACGAAUGGUGUAACCAUGGCCAUGCUGUCUCCACCCGAGACUCAGUGAAAUCGAAUUCGCCGUGAAGAUGCGGUGUACCCGCGGCUAGACGGAAAGACCCCGUGAACCUUUACUACAGCUUGGCACUGAACAUUGAACCUACAUGUGUAGGAUAGGUGGGAGGCUUUGAAGGCGUGACGCCAGUUGCGCUGGAGCCGUCCUUGAAAUACCACCCUUGUAUGUUUGAUGUUCUAACGCAGGGCCCUGAAUCGGGCUCGCGGACAGUGCCUGGUGGGUAGUUUGACUGGGGCGGUCUCCUCCCAAAGAGUAACGGAGGAGCACGAAGGUUGGCUAAUCCUGGUCGGACAUCAGGAGGUUAGUGCAAUGGCAUAAGCCAGCUUAACUGCGAGACGGACAGGUCGAGCAGGUACGAAAGUAGGUCAUAGUGAUCCGGUGGUUCUGAAUGGAAGGGCCAUCGCUCAACGGAUAAAAGGUACUCCGGGGAUAACAGGCUGAUACCGCCCAAGAGUUCAUAUCGACGGCGGUGUUUGGCACCUCGAUGUCGGCUCAUCACAUCCUGGGGCUGAAGUCGGUCCCAAGGGUAUGGCUGUUCGCCAUUUAAAGUGGUACGCGAGCUGGGUUCAGAACGUCGUGAGACAGUUCGGUCCCUAUCUGCCGUGGGCGUUGGAUGAUUGAAGGGAGUUGCUCCUAGUACGAGAGGACCGGAGUGAACGAACCUCUGGUGUUCGGGUUGUCACGCCAGUGGCACUGCCCGGUAGCUAAGUUCGGAAUCGAUAACCGCUGAAAGCAUCUAAGCGGGAAGCGAGCCCUGAGAUGAGUCAUCCCUGACCCCUUGAGGGUCCUAAAGGGCCGUUGGAGACCACAACGUUGAUAGGUGGGGUGUGUAAGCGCGGCGACGUGUUGAGCUAACCCAUACUAAUUACCCGUGAGGCUUAACCAU